rnacentral:rRNA from 1 species
AUUGAACGCUGGCGGCAUGCUCUACACAUGCAAGUCGAACGGUAACAGGUUAAGCUGACGAGUGGCGAACGGGUGAGUAAUGCAUCGGAACGUGCCCGGGCGUGGGGGAUAACACUUCGAAAGAAGUGCUAAUACCGCAUACGAUCUGAGGAUGAAUGCGGGGGACCGUAAGGCCUCGCGCGAUCGGAGCGGCCGAUGUCAGAUUAGGUAGUUGGUGGGGUAAAGGCUCACCAAGCCGACGAUCUGUAGCUGGUCUGAGAGGACGACCAGCCACACUGGGACUGAGACACGGCCCAGACUCCUACGGGAGGCAGCAGUGGGGAAUUUUGGACAAUGGGCGCAAGCCUGAUCCAGCAAUGCCGCGUGCAGGAAGAAGGCCUUCGGGUUGUAAACUGCUUUUGUACGGGGCGAAAAGGCUCUCUCUAAUACAGGGGGCUCAUGACGGUACCGUAAGAAUAAGCACCGGCUAACUACGUGCCAGCCGCCGCGGUAA